rnacentral:rRNA from 1 species
GUCCACGCCCUAAACGAUGAAUACUCGAUGUAUGCCAUAAUUGAGUGGUAUGCGUCCAAGCGAAAGCGUUAAGUAUUCCACCUGGGGAGUACGGUCGCAAGAUUAAAACUCAAAGGAAUUGACGGGGGCCCGCACAAGCGGAGGAGCAUGUGGUUUAAUUCGAUGAUACGCGAGGAACCUUACCUGGGCUAGAAUGCGCGUGACGUACUGGGAAACCAGUAUUCCCCGAAAGGGGCACAAAGCAAGGUGCUGCAUGGUUGUCGU